CUUUAUUAAAUCUACUCCCGUUACUGGAUAUGUUGCUGUUAAGCUAUCUUUUUUUUUUUUUUAAUUCUUUAUUUUAUAUGUGCGCACAUUAACAAAUUAGCGUGCAGAGCCACUACAGCAAUUACAGGCAUUUCAUAGCAUUCCCAGGUAUGGCAGUUAAUAUAGCACAUUUUGUGUACCUAGUACAUAAUAGCAUGAGAUUAACAGGAUUAUGGCUCUUACAGCA